UUUUUUUUUUUACUGCGUAUUUGUGCUAUUUUCAGUUUAAGUGUAUCCGGCCCUCUGUUUAAUGAGCUAUCCUAAUAUACAUUAUUUACGCAUUACUAUUAACAAUCAAAACAAUUUUUUAUUAGAUAUAAUAUGUAUGUCAUAUCGUCAAAUAAAAUUCAGCAAGAUACUCAAUUAUUAACGUAUCAAAGUUGAAACACCCAUACAGGUAUGUGACCUACUGGAUUAAUGACAAAAUCCCAAUUACCUCAUUAAACGUUUUAAUAAAACAUACACACCAUGUACAAAAUGAUUUACAUUCCUUAACAUCUAAUUUUAAUUAGAUUGGACUGAGCCCACACCUUCUUCCCAAAACUUUAUUCCUGGGUCACCGCGUUGCCAUGUAGUAAUAUAUAUACCCGUUUUAAAAACUUUCGUGAGAUUUGAAAUGAAGAGGUACAUGUACGUGAUCGAAUCUAUUACGAAGCCAUUUGGAAUUUCAUAGAAAUAUCAAAAGUUGCUUAGAAUACUUUAUGAGUUAAAUUCAAGGAGAAACCCUAUCUAACUUGUUUUAUUUUCUUUUUAACUCUAAUUUACGAAAGAAAAUCUCCGAUAUUUUGCAAAUGUUUAACAUAUUUCUUAUAAAUGUUGACGAUUUGGUUCUAAUUGCCCCGCACUAGACUCUUGAAGUGUUUACAGUAGAUGCUAGAUAUAAUAAAUAGUUGAUACAUGUAAUAUGGAACGCAGAGUUAUCAUAAACCCAACUAAUUGAACAUAUCCUUAAUUAUUUGAAAGUACCAUUAAUUCAAUUUUUGCGCACAAUAAUCGAAUUGAUGUGUGCAUGAAAUCAAUCUUGGCUUGAAGUGUGCACCAAUACAAUUAAUCAUUGCGCGUAUUGAUUAGAGUAAUAAUUGAUUUGGUGUGCACCUCAAUUCAAUUAUGGCUUUCAUCAAUUCAUUUGGUGCGCGCAUUAAUAUAGUGGAAUUAUUGCUCGCAAAAUUUAACCUGAAGCUCGGUAUCAAUGGUUUAAAGAUCUCUUUAAUUCAAUAAAUUUUAUCUAUUAUUUUAUUCUUAUUAUCAAUUGACAAUAUAUUUCAUUAUGUACAACGAUUUUGUAUAAGGAAUUACUGCGUGCAUCGAUUCUUUUAGAGAUAGCAACUAUAUGCAUUGCUGUAGGCCUACUUCGAUGAAUCAGUUGUCUCAAGAAAAAUAGAUUAACUUGAAACACUGUAAAAGUUAAAAUUUUAAUUUGAUUAUCGUAGUAGAAUAUCAUUAGCAGCAACCUCUCUGAGAUAAAUAAUUCUAAAAUUGUGUCAUAUAUAUUAUGGAAUUAUUGAAGAAACUUAGAAAUAUACUUUUGAUAGUUUAUCGGGGUCCUACUCGCCCUGUAGUAUUAAUCCGUGAAAGCAGCAGCGAGACGACAUGGUUGUGCAGAAUAUCAAUGAAUAAACAGUGUGUGUAAUAGUAAUAUUCGUUGACGUAUGCGCAGGAAUGUGAUUGAAAUGAAAAGUAUAUAAAGCGCACGAAUUGUUGGUGCAGUGUAAUACUACCAACAAUCUCUUGCAGGAGUUGAGGACCAAGAACUGGACGCUAUUUGAUUUUGAAGGAGACAAAAUGCAAGCUCGAGUUUUAAUCCUCGUCUUCAUCAUUCUUUUUUCGGGACUGGCAAACGGAGGUCGGAACAGCUGCAUUAAUGACUGCAUUUCGACGAGUCGCAGUUGUCAGGACGGAUGUAAAUCGCACUCCAGUUCCGCGGAUCGAUCACGCUGCGGAAGGAACUGUAACAGUGAUCUAGAUUCCUGCGCUGCCGACUGUUGAAGAAGUUAUCCUGAUAAGAAAUGAAAGAGACGUUUCUCAUCGUAGCUGAUUUAACCUUUUGUAUUGGAUGACCAUCAUCUACGAAAAGUCAGAAUUGUGCAUCAUAAGUAAAAUAAAAUAUGUCAACCUCUUGUCCUAUUGAUUGUCAAAGAUUGAAUAUAUUGUAACCCAUAUUAUGACCCUAUCAUGACCCUGUUGGUAGGCUCAAACUAAAGUUAAGGUACGUGAAUUUGCUUGCACAUUGCUUUAACGGCACGUCAAUUCCACAAAAUGAUUGAAACGCAGUAUCAUUGGGAUUGGUUUUUACCAUUUCAUGCAGUAGAGGAACGGUCAAGUCAGACCACACAGUAUUGACAUCAGUUAUGUGGAAGCAAUUUUUUGGGAAAAUUUUCAAGGUCGUGUACAGCUUACUUCAUGAAGCGCGUUUGCUUCAUACUUAGAUAUUUUAGUGAAAGUAGAUAUUAACGGCAAACUAACAACUCAACUUCAUGACAAAUGGGAUGAUUUCAGCUUCUCCGUCGUCAACUUCCCAUAUUUAUGUAGUAAUAUUCCCAUUAUCACCUGUAUAUGGUGUUUAUAUCUCUCAACUGAUUCGAUACGCAAGAUCUUGUUCUUUUAAAUCGAUGCAGGCUACUGACAAACAAGUUGAUGGUGCUGGGGUUCCAAUAGUCUCGUUUAAAGUCAUCAUUUCGCAAAUUCUAUGGUCGUUAUAACGAUCUAGUUUACCAAUACAACCUACCAUUGGGUCAAAUGCUGUCUGACGUGUUUCAUUCCGGUCGUUAGACCGUUAUUGGCACACUGAUUUUUACUACGGAUAACUCCGUUUACCUGAUCAGGAUAUAGGGCUCACGGCGGGUGUGACCGGUCUACAGGGGAUGCUUAUUCCUCCUAGCCACCUGAUCCCACCUCUGGUGUGUCCAGGGGUCCGUGUUUGCCCAACAUUCUAUUUUGUAUUGCAUAUAUGAGUUAUGAGAUUGAUCACAGUUCGUUAUCAUCACCUUUCAUGAUACCACAAAGUCAAAUCAAACAACAAUACGGCAUUUCAAAAUUCAAGUCGAGCUUUUAAAAGUUGUAUUUCAGUGUUAAAGGGACUCUGGCCACGUUUGAUUUCAACAAUAAAAGUCAUUUUGGAUUUAAAACAUUAAAGUAUAACUCAUUUAAAGUUGACAACCAAAUGUUUACCUUCUUAAUUCAAGAUAAGUACGAUUGUAGCCUUAAGUCAAUGUUAUGCAAAAAGACUAGAGCCUUGGUUAUGUCUACAAUCAAAUCAGUGAAGUGUUAAUUUAUAAUUUGAUGCAUCCUAAUUUUGCACAGACACAAAUUUAACUUUAUAAUAGCACAUUUUACGUUAAGAAUACUUGGAAUGAUAUAUAUAAAGUAAACUUAGAUCAAUUACCAUAUAUUUUCAUAUAUAUUCAAACCUUUCCUAUCUCAAUCUUUGUUUACACAACAAAUAACAAGUUCUCUAUAAUGAGCUUCUGUCAUAAUGUAUAACCUUGGCGUUUUUGUUGACACCUUUUAAAUGCAUUAGACAGUAUAUUUUGAGCAUUAAAACUGAAAAGGGGGAGGGGUCGUGAAUUAGUUCAUUUAAAGUUGUCUUUCGUGGGAAAAAAAAUCUCUGCACGUCAAGUGGGACCAUUUAUUCUUGAAAUUAUUUAACAUUUGGUUGAGAAUCUAUUUAAUUAUAUUAAAUAUGAUAUCAUUCAGUUUAUCAACAGUAAAUGUCCUUAACCUUGUCAAAAUCACACAGCGUGGUUCAAGUGCAUUUGAAUUUGAAUUAGAAUUUGAUAAUUAUAUUACUGUAUAUUGAAAGAGUAUAUAUAGAUGAUUUCCUGUCAGAUUAGAAUUCGGAUGCAUGUCCUAUAACAACAUUUAUACAUUCUUCUGAAAAUACACAAUAUUGUUACUGUUUUGUAAUUUACGACAUUCACGGUUCUUUGUUUUCAACAGAUCACAAAAAUAUGGGCAUAUUUCAUUUCCAAAAUUUGUACCGUAAACGUUCUCUGAUUUCAUUUCCGAAAAUAAUUGGGUUUUUUAAUUCCAUAAACGAAGUCAUGUUUCAUUCCGAACCCCCCCCCCCCUACAUUUACCUAUAAGGAUCCCAAUUGCAGAGAAAUAUAUAGAUGGUAAACAGUUGGAAGUGAAGGUUAUCACACAGUCUAGAGAUUUCACAACGCCCAACAGGGGUGAUCAGAAAAAGAAUAAUGAUGAUAGAAUAAAUUGAUGUUACAUGGGUUUCAACAGUCUCGUUUAAAGGUAGUAUUUCGCAAAUUCUAUAGUGGUUAUAACGAUUUAGUUUGUCAAUACAACCUGUCAUUGGAUCAAAUGCUCUCUUACGACCGGUCGACAUGGGGUAUGCUUACUACUCCUAAGCACCUGGUCUCACCUCUGAUGUGUCAUGCGUUCCUGUUUCCCUAUCCUUAAUUAUGUAUUGUUGUGCGAAUUAUGAAAUUGAUCACUGCUCGUUAUCUUCCCAUUUACAUAAUGUGACGUAGAGACAGACCUGCCCUAGAGGACGUUAAGACCAAAAUUUAUACCAAAAUCGGUGCUAAAAUAGGGCAAACACUGUUUAUCUUUACUUUUUAUCUUCAAUGCAACACCAUAAGAAUGUUGCAUUGGCCUAGAAUAGAAAACUUAGUACUGCCAAAGAUUUAUGAAACCAAGCCGCAUUCACAUUGAUAACGAAACAGUUACCGUAUAAGUUUUACAUUAUGACCCCUGGGUCGAGGCCUCUGCUGGUGGACUGUUAGUCCCCGAGGGUCUCUACAGCCCAGUAGCUAAGUACUUCGUUACUAGCUUGAAAAUACGGAUGUAUAUUUAAUUGCUGUUAUAAAAUUUAGAAAUUCAUUUCAAAAUUAAGGAUUAUCUCCCUCAUGCAUAGCUCUUAUCCUUGGACGAAUUUGGCUCCACUUUUUUGGCACGCUGUUUUUGACUAUAUUUAGCUCUAAAACUUCAUAGUUAUUUCGGAUUUCAAACAUUUCGGUUGAGCAUCAUUGAAGUGACAUUAUUUGUCGAAAUGCGCAUCUGGUGCAUCAAAAUUAGUACCGUAUAAGUUUUACAUUAUUAAUAAUGUUGUGAAGCUUCAUGUUCCCUGAAACUCAAACUGAAUGCCGUCAAUUCCCUCUAAGCUGGUGGUGACGUAUCCAGACGUUGGGAUGGAGUGAGUACAAGACGAGCAGGGACAAACAAGUGUUACCAGGCGAACGGAAGAAGUAUCUCGGUUUCGGAAAUGAAAUAUAUUAGAAAUGAACUUAUUAUUCAUCGGACUUGAAAUGUCAAUUUUCGGAAAUGAAGAAACUCAGAAAAAUACAGCUUUAAGAAACAAUUUUAGCCCAGAUCCACAAAAUGUAUCAGCUGUUAUAACUGUGUUGAAGUGUUUGGGGAAGUGGUAGAGGAUCUGACCGAAUGCUAUAUAUCAUUCAAAACAGAAUUCACUGUGUCACCUGAUAGGCUGUAUAAGUCUGAAGAAUUAUCUAUAUAAAGAAAAAUAUGGGCCACUUUCUAUCCCUUCCCCCCUCACGGCCAUCUGCACUGUACAUAGUAAAUUACCGUUUGGGUCGGUUAUACUCUGCGUUAAAAGCGCGAUUUUAUAUUGCGUAGGAAUGGUUGUAUCCAAAUGGCGUAGGAAUGGUUGUAUCCAAAUGACGUUUGGUCACGGUGUGUCUUGUAUCUGGGGUCGUACGUUUCAUUUUAAUUACUAUCGAUUUACAAGCUCCGCCCUUUCUAUACUACCAACAAUGUCUCUCUGAAUAUUCAUGAAAGGAUUAUAGGUUGCAUUUAAAUCACCGAAUCGUACAAUUGAUAAUCUAAGCGAAGGAAAAUUGUGCACUCCCGAUUUUACAUUGUAUAACGAGACCAAAUUUUGGAAACUAAAUUCCUUUAUGGUGUCGCAUAGAAAGGGGAUUUGAAUUUUUAGGUGGUUUAAGAUAACAUCAUGCAAGGUGAAGAUAACGAACAGUGAUCAAUCUCAUAACAUGCUGAGACAAUAUUCAUGUUUUUUUUGUUGUUUUUUUUUUUUUUUUUUUUGUUUUUUUUUUUUUUUUACAAAUCUUGCUUUUAACAGCGAAUUUAUCUUUACCAAUUAAAAUCCUAGUAUUUAAUUCAUUAAACCUUUUAAUAAAACAUAUUUACAUGCACAAACUGGCUUAACAAUAAUCAGCUUAAGCAAUGAAUACUAUUAUACAAAUGCAGGAAAUGAAUGGCUUUUCCUACCAACAUAGAAAUAUUCUACUAGGUAGGUUCUUCAGACCAAAUUAAUAUGUCUCUUGAUAAAUUAAAGACAAAUAAUUGCAUCAGUGGUAUAUCGAUGGUAUUCCUUCGUUAUAUAAGCAUGCCAAAAUAGCUUCAGUAUAGGAGUAAACAUUCUUUUGGGAGAAUUAAUCGAUGUGUAAACUCUUGACAUUAUAAUAAAAAAAAUCAGUAAAAGUGAGAAACACUUUUACGUUAGUUAAGUUUGUGAGUGAAAUGUUUUAAGUUUACACAUCGAUACAUUCUUGAAAUAAAACGCUUGAGUCUUAAAUUCCAAUUUGUUUCCUGUAUUGAAAAUUUGAAUAGUUUUCCCGCUAAGUCUCAGUACAUUACUUUAUUUGUUUUCAAGCGCGUAUGAAUACAUAUGUAUAUCAAGUUUCUCGUUCAGCUUUAUUUUUACAAUCAAUACAGUUGUAACGAAUCACUUGGAAUUAUUUCACAUAAAGUAUUUCGUAGGUCAAAUGCCAGAACAUAAAACGUUGGGCCACAAUAGGGACGGUGAUAAAGUAAAAAAAUACGACCAAGGUGUAACAAGAAUCUACAAGAAUCUACAAGAAAAGGAGUCUACUUCAUUAUUAUUUGCAAUCACAACACAGCAACACGAUUAGCUAAGCGUAGAUGUAAAACACGAGAUUGUAAACCGCUUAAAAUUCCCCAAUAAAGUUUCAAUCUGAUCAAAGAUAGAUGUUAGAUCCGCUCGAUCGCAUGCAUACCUAUUAUAUGUAUGCGAGUAUAUUAGCGGAUAUAACAUCUAAUUUUAAUUAAAUUGGAGUGAGACCAUUACAUCUUACUUCGUCCAAAAACUUUAUUCCGGGGUCACUGUAUUGUCAAAUUGUACCGUUGGUGGUUAGUGCCAAAUCUUUGACUGAUCGUUUGAAAUGCUUAUACAUGAAGUCAUAUAUACAUGUACCUAUUUGAAAUACUUAAGUUAAAUAGGUUUGAAAUGGAGCGGCACGUGGUCAAAUAUACUAAGAAGCCAUUUGGAAUUUCAUCAAAAUCUCAAAAGUUGUAUAAAAUGGGAUUUACUUUAUGGCUCUAGGUCAAGGAGAAGCACUUUUUAACCCGUUUUUAUUUUCUUUUGUCCCGGAUGUUUUGUUGAAUAUACUUCUUAUACAUGUUAAUUGCCCCGCGCUAGAGUCUCGAAGGUUUACAGUAGAUUCUAGAUGCAUUAAAUAGUUCGCUUUGGUGUGUCCAUCAUUGAUAAUUCAGCCUCAUGAUAUCGCUUUCAAAUAGUUAUAUAAUCAUAAUGAUACCCGGACUACGUAACGUGUCCCAGUCAUGUGUGUUGAACUUUCGACGGUCAUUCAAAACAUUAUACUAUAGAACGCCAAGUUAACACAAAGCCAAAUAAUUGAAGAUAUCUUUAAUUAUUUGAAGAUAUUUUCAAUUCAAUUCUUGCGCACAAUAAUUAUAUUGAUAUUUGCGUCAAAUCAAUAUUUGCUCUCAUCAAUUGAAUUGAUGAGUGCACCAAUACAAUUAAUUAUUGCGCGUAAUGAUUGAAUAUAAUGCGCGCAUUAAUUAAGUAUUGAUGAGUGUAAUAAAUGAUUUGAUGCGCACAUCAAAUGUAUUAAUGUUAUGUAGUCGCAAAAUCUAUUUUGGAGCUCGGUAUAAAUGCUUUGAUGAUCUCUUUAAUUCAAUUGAGAAAAUAACAAUUUUGUAUAAGGAAUUAAUGCGCGCACCAAUUCUUUUGAAGAGAGCAAUAAUUCGUUGCUGCACUUUGAUGAGUCGGUUGUCUAAAGAAAGUAUAUCAACUUAAAAUGCUGUAAAAGUUAAAUUUUACUUUGAAUAACUUUGUAAAAUAUCAUUAGCACCAAGUUCUCCAACAUUGAUAAUUCUAAAAUUACAUGUAUUGAAGAAACUCAGAAAUAUACUUUUACUAGUUUAUACCGGGUCCUACUCGCCCUGUAGUGUUAAUCCUUGUAAACAGAAGAUGGCAGUGGUUGUGCAGACUAUGAAUAAACAGUGUGUGUAAUAGUAAUAUACGUAGACGUUUGCGCAUAAAUAUUAUUUAAUGAAAGGCAUAUAAAGCGCACGACUUGUUGGUGCAGUGCAGCACAGCCUACAAUCUCUUACAGGAGUUGAGAAUCAAGAACUGGACGCUGUUUGAUUCUGAAGGAGACAAAAUGAAAGCUCGAGUUUUAAUCCUAGUCUUCAUCAUCCUUUACUCGGGACUGACAAACGGAGAUAAGAGGAGCUGCGUGCUUGACUGUGCUUGGUCUUGUGUGAGCUGUACCGCCACAUGCCGCUCUAACUCUGGACGCUGCUUCGCGGACUGUUACGACUCGAUGGUUCACUGUGUUAACGACUGUAAAAUAAGAUAUCCUGAUAAGAAAUAAAAGAUGGUAAUCAUCGAAGCUGAUUUAAUAUUUUGUAUUAAAUGGCUGUCAUCCACGAAAACUCAGAAUUGUGCAUCAUGUAAAUAAAAUAUGUCAAUCUCUUGUCCUAUUGAUUUUCAAAGACUAAACAUAAUUGUAACCCCUAUUAUGACCCAAUUAUGACCCUGUUGGUAGGCUCAAACUAAGAUAAGUACUCUAUCAAGAUUGUUGAUCGUGCCAUGUUGUACUUUUUUUUUUUAAAAAAACACUUUGCUGGACGGGUGUCAAUACAGUUAUAUUGCAAGUUUUGUUUUACACCCACCCAGUUAAUUAGAAAAUUUAAGUAUCUUUUUUUUAAAUUUGGAAAUGAAAACUUUUUUCCCUUUAGAAAUUAAACAAUUAUUUUUCGGAAAUGAAAUGUCAAUUUUCGGAAAUGGAACAACUCAGAAAAAUGUACGUUUAAAAAACAACUUUUAGCCAAGAUCCACAAAAUGUAUCAGUCAUAUCUGUUCUCUGAGAUCGUACAUUUCGACAUCAUUACUACAUGUAUCUAUUUACAAACCCCGAUCCUUUCUAUACCACCAACUAUGUCCCUCUGAAUAUUCAUUAAAGAAUAAUACGAUGCAAAGUUUAAACACUGAAUCGUACAAUUGAUAAUUGAAUCGGAGAGGAAAGAUUGUGGGCGCUGUGGGUUUUUUUUUACAUUGUAUAACGAAACCAAAUUUUUUGAAACUACAUCGGAAUUCUAGACAUUCACUUAAAGGGUAAGGCAACCCAAAAUGUUUUACAUGAUAUAUGAUAGGAUUAAUUAUAUGAUAAAGUUUUACCAUACUAUAUUCUGUUGAUAUACGGCCUAGAUAAGCUUCAGUACUAAUUUGAAAACGUUAAAAAUUGAAAUUCCCGCUAUCUAUAGAGGCUGUCAUGAUGUGGAACUCUUUUGUAUUCAAGACCACAGAAAUCAAGAAGAUUGACGCCAUACCGUCUAUUCCGGUUUUGAUGAGACUCUAAGGUCAUCAAAGAUGUACAUGUGGUAGAUUCUACGAAUACAUUGUAAAUAGGUUGAUGCCGUCUUGUCAAGCAGUUAAUUACACUAAUGCGAAUGGGAGAUGUGAAAAAACUUUUUUUUUCAAACCCUGACCCGACCAAGGCAUUUGAAAAUACAUGUAUUAUGUAAACUGUGGAUCCACCAUUUGCGUAAUGACAAGUUGAGGUUCGAUACAUUUGUAUGAAGAAACGUGUAUCGUCUGCUUGGUCUGCGACUCGACUGAACGUCUUCUUUUUUAAUGUCUUCUUGCGAAAGAACGGGCUCAAAUCUAUACGGCUCCAAACUUGACUGUUCGUGACUUGUCAUGUUUACAGUGCUGCUAAUGAAAUAAAACGGAACUGACGGUGUGACGUCAUCAAUUAAACUUUAAUGGCCGCUCUCUUAGCGGCGGGUAAUUUAAAAUAUAUGAAAGCUUAAUAUUGAUUUAAUUGUUAAGCAAGGAUUUUUGUUGUUAAAGACUGUCAUUUAUGAUAUCAGUAAGUAAUGAUUUAUUCAUAAAAGCAAAACUUGGUUAGAGGUGCCUUUCCCCUUAAUGGUUUCGCAUAGAAGGGUUUUUUGGAUUUUCAAUUACAACAUCAUGUUGAUACAAUAUUCAUUUAUUUUGAAAAUCUUGCAUUUAAAGCAAAUUUAUCUUUACCAAUUGAAAUCACAAUUGCUUCAUUAAACCUUACAAUACUAUGCUAAAGCAAUGAAUACUAUUAUAAAAAUGCAGGAAAUGAAUGACCUUUCCUACCAACAUAGAAGUUUUUUACUAGGCAGGUUCUGCAGAAGAAAUUAAAAUGUCUAUUGAUGAAUUAAAGACAAAUGUUUACAUUUGAGGUAUGAUGGUAUUUUUUUCAUUAUAAUAGCUUCAAUAUAGGAUUAAACAUUCUUUUUGAAGAAUUUAUCGAUGUGUAAAUUCUGGACAUUUCACUCACAAACUGAAUAAAAGUGCGAAGAGCUUUUAUGUUAAAAGUUUGUGAGUAAAGGAGUUUACACUUCGAUAAAUUCUUCAAAUAAAAUGUUUGAGUCUCAAUUCCAAGUUUCCCCGCUUAGUCUCAGUACAUUACAUUAUUUGUUUCAGGCGCGAAUGAAUACAUAGCUUUUCGGAAUUUAUUGAUGUGUAAAUUCUCGUUUAGCUUUACUUUUCUCCCAAUCAACACAACAUUGGAAUUGUUUUCAAAGGAAGUAAAAUGAGGUAAAAUGUUAUAAGCGUUGGGCCGAAGUAGGGCCGUUAAUAUGAUAAAAACGUACAACCAAAGUGUAAUAAGAAUCUAAUUGAAGCUCAGAAAAGAAGCUGCUUCAUUAGCAUUCGCAAUAACAGCACAGCAACACAGCAAGGCGUAAAUGUGAAACACGAGUCUGCAAACCGCUCGAAAUUCCUCUAUAAAUUUCUACCUCGUCCAAUCUGAUAAAAAACGAUGUUAAAUUCGCUCGCAUACAUACCCAUUUUGUGUAUGCGAGCGGACCUACCAUCUAGUUUUAAUUAAAUUGGAGUGAGCCCAUUCCCUCUUACUUCGUCCCAAAACUUUAUUCCUGGCCCACCGCGUUGCGAUGGUGUACGUGGGGGGUUAGUGCCAAAUUUUAAGAUUGCGUUUUCGUCCCGAAUGCUUAUACAUGAAUUAAUAUAUAGCCAUUUUAAAAACAUUAGUUGGGUUUGAAAUGGAACGUUACGUGAUCAAAUCUACUAAAAUAAAAAGCCAUUUGGAAUUUCAUCGAAAUCUCAAAAAUUGCAUAGAAUAUGGCAAUUACUUUAUGGGUCAAUGUCAAGGAGAAACGCUAUAACCUGUUUUAUUUUAUCUUUAACUAUAUAUUUACGAAGGAAACUUCCUGAUAUUUUCUAGACCAUAUUUUUUCUUAUACAUGUUAACGAUUCGAUUCUAAUUGCCCCGAGCUAGACUCUUGAAAGCUUAAAUCAAGGAGAAGCACUAUAGCCUGUCUUAUUUUCUUUUUAAUUAUAUAUUACGAAAGAAGCUCCUUGAGAUUUUGUUGAAAAUACUUCUUCCUAUGCAUGUUGACGAUUUGUUUCUAAUUGCCCCGCACUAAACUCUUGAAGUCUUACAGUAAAUGAUAGAUGCAUUGAAUAGUUUAUACUAUGGGACGCCAAGUUAACAUAAAUCCGAAUAAUUGACGAUAUCUUUAAUUAUUUGAAGCUAUCAUCAAUUCAAUUCUUGCACACAAUAAUUGAAUUGAUGCGUGUAUGAAAUCAAUAUUUGCUCUCAUCAAUUGAAUUGAUGCGUACACUAAUACAACUAUUGCGCGUAAUAAUUGAAUUAAUGCGCAUAUUGAUUCGGUAUUAAUGAGAAUAAUAAUUAAUUUGGUGCGCAUAUUAAUUCAAUCAUUGCUCUCAUCAAUUCAUUUCGUGCUCGGAUCAAUGUGGUGGACUUAUUGAUCGCAAAGUUUUAUCUGGAGCUCGUUAUAAAUGAUUUGAUGAUCUUUCUAAUUCAAUUAGGAUCUCUUAAAUUCUUUACAACGAUUUUGUGUAUGGAAUUGAUGCGCACAUCACUUUUUUUUAAAAGAGAAAGGUGAAUAUAACGAACAGUGAUCAAUCUCACAAGUCAUGUAAGCAAUACAAAAUAGAGAGUUUGGCAAACACGGACCCCUGGUUAUACCAGAGGUGGGGUCAGAUGUAUAGGAGGAGUAAGCAUCCCCUGUCAACCGACCACACCCGCAGUGGGCCCUAUAUCUUGAUAAGGUGCAUGGAGUUAUCUGUAGUCAAAAUCAGUGUGCCAAGAAUGGCCUAACAAUCGGUAUGAAACACGUCAAACAGCAUUUGACCCAAUGAUAGGUUGUACUGGCAAACUAGAUCGUUAUAACGACCAUAGAAUUUGCGAAAUGCUGACUUUAAACGAGACUGUUGGAACCCCAGCACCAUCAACUUAUUUGUCAGUAGCCUGCUUCGAUUUAAAAACUGACCAUAAGCAGAACAAGAUCUUGCGUAUCGAAUCAGUUGAGAAAUAUAAACACCAUAUGCAGGUGAUAAUGAAAUAUUGCUACAUGAAUGUGGGUAGUUGACGAUGGAGAAGCUGAAAUCAUCCCGUUUGUCAUAAAGUUGAGUUGUUAGUUUACCGUUAAUAUCUAUUUUCAGUAAAAUAUCUAAGUAUGAAGCUGAUAUGGACGAAUCUGUGUUGCCUUUUAUUUCGAGUUCACUGGGAUAUAUCGAAUCGACAUAUGAACGAAAAUGAUUAUUGUUAAUAAAUGAUACGGCGUCGAUACAUCUAAAUGCCCAAUUGUUGAAUUCAUCAUAUUUUUAAUUAGAUAAUGACUCUCUAUAAAAGAAUUAAUGCAUAGAUCAUUUGAAUUGAUAAUGUCAAUUAAUCAGUUGAAAAGAGCAACAAUUCAAGUAUUUUGUGCAUUAAUUGAAUUACACGAUGCGUGCAUUAAUUGUAUUAUAGCGCUUUUCAAUUGUUGAUAUCCUCAAUUCAUUUGAAGAGCACUAUUUCUGCGGAAUAAUUAAUGAUAUCAACAAUUUAAUUAAUGCACGUAAUCAAUCAGAAUUGAAGAUAUCAAAUAUUUAAAGAAAUCUGUAAUUGUUGCCACCUUAUCUUGCGUCUAUCUCUGCGCCGCUUUCUUUCUGGUGUCCAGAAAAGGGCUGUACUAGUAUGGUCUUGUAGAUCUCUUCUCUAGAUGUGCCCAAUCCGUCUCCAUCUUCUGAUGAGGAUGUUGUUCAUGUCUUCCUGAUUGCAUAAGGAGGUCUUGGUUAGAGAUCUUAUUUGGGCUAAAUAUUUGUAGUUCUCCUAACGUUAUUUGUAUGGAAGAUGCAGAGUUUUGUUGGUCAGCCUCAGUCAAUCUCCAGCAUUCUGAACCAUACAACAGAUAGGUAUUACAGAACUGUUGUAUAGUUUCAAUGUGAUACGUAUGGUGUUCUGGCCAGAUUUCCAGACACUCUGCAAGUUGUUGAAUGCAGCUCUUGACAGACGUUGUUUAAUGCCAGUAGGGGCACCACUAUCUACUCUUACUGUACUGCCAAGGUAUGUAAUUGUAUCUGUUUGAGGCAGGGAUUUUCCAUCUACAAGUUCUGACGGUGAGUUGGAAUUUUUACGAAUCAUGAAUUCGGAUUCUCUGGUGUUGAUUCGUAGGCUUAAUUGGUUGUGUGAUAUAGUGGUUAUCUCUUGGAUAUGCGAUACUAAGGCAAUAUCAUCAGCAAAGACGAAUAUCUUCUAGGGUUGAAAUGGUUCCCUGUCUGAAAAUGUUUGUUGUAACACUCAAUCAAUGGAUAUGUUAAAUAAAGUUGAUUACAUGACACACCUUUGCCCAAUUCCUGUUUUCACUUAAAAAGCUAUGUCUGAAUUCCCAACGAUACAUUUUAAAGCAAAUACAGUUAAGAUAUUGUGGGGAAAACUACUUGAACGUAAGCAACACAUAAUAUGUCCUUUGGCAUCUUUCUACACUUCAAAACAUUAAGCGAUAGUGAUUUUAGACAUGGUGGUGACUUUUCGGCUUAGAAAUUUAGAGAUUACUUGUAAUUUCUAAAAUAUAAUUCAACAACUCUGACGUCUCUGACUUUGUUCAGGAUUUUCGCACGGAUGGGAACGUUUUAUUCAUAUGACUGACCUCCACAACUUCGUAAACUAGGAAUUUUCCAAAUGACAUAAACUUUAAUUGUGAAGGAGACAAAAUGCAAGCUCGAGUUAUAAUCAUAGUCUUCAUCAUCCUUUUCUCGGGACUGGCAAGCGGAGGUAGGAACAGUUGCUUUCGUGACUGCAGUGCCACGUACUGGACCUGUGACCGUGGAUGCAAAUCGUACAGGGAAGUCUGGGAUCAAACACGCUGCGAAAGGAACUGUAGGACUGAUUACGAUUCCUGCAUUGCCGACUGUUAAAGACGUUUAUCCUGAUAACAAAUGAAAAAACAUUGUCAUCAUCGAAGCUGAUUUGAUAUUUGUAAUGAAUGGCCAUACGAAAACUCAGAAUUGUGCUUCAUAUAAGUAAAAUAAAAUGUCAACCUCUUGUCCUAUUGAUUUUCAAAGAUUGAAUACAUUUCUAGGUACAUUUGUAACCCCGGAUAUGACCCUAUCAUGACCUUGUAGAUAGGCUCAAACUAAAAGUAAAUUUCAUGAAUAUGCUUACAUAUUGUUUUGAUACGUUAAACGGCACGUCAAUUCCACAAAAUGAUUGAAACACGAUUUAAUUGCGAUUGGUUUUUGACGUUUGACGCAGUAGAAAAAAAUGGCAAAUCAGACCACACAGUAUUGGUACCAGUUCUGUACAUUUGAGAAAUAUCUUUGAGAAUACUUAUGGGCAUGAACAGCAUACUCCAUGAAGCGCAUUCAUGAAAGUGUGUUGGCUUGAAGGGUUGCAGUUCAUACUCUCACGUAUUUUCAAAAAUGACAAUUAUUUUUUAUAUUUACAUUCUACUUUCAUUUCUGUCGAAAGAAGUAGGUACAGUUACUAAAGUCAUCUGGCCCAAAAUAUCGAUGAUUUCACUUGGAGCUCAAACCCUGGCAUUCAAAUAAGGAAUAGAUUAGCAAACCCAAAAUUUGCUCAGUUUGAUCAGCAAAAUGAUUUGUGUCAUAUGACGAGAGCUUGAAGUUGGCAUAAAAUUGCAAAAAUGCCAUUUUCAAUCAAAAUAUUCACAAAUUCAGGCGGUUUUCCUUUCAGAAAACAUACAGCGCAUGCGUCGAGCAAAUUCAUAUUCAAACAUGUUUUUCAUCUUAAAAUAAUACACAAUAUACAUCAUUUUCAUUUUGCUCGACAAAUGCGCACAUCUUUUUCUGAGCAAUAAUCUGUAUGACUUUUGACAGUUUCCAGGUUUAUUUUGAGAAAAAGGCAGGAAAUGUCUUAUCCAUGAUGUCAUAAUGCUAUCCAUUUAGGAAUAUCAUUCUGAUUUUGUUUACAUAGUAUACCUGGCAUACAUUUUACUUUCUUAAAACGCUGAUUAAGAUUAAUUCCAAGCACAUUUUAUAGAGAGCAUAGUUUGGGCCUUUUUAUGUAUACAAUCGUACCUUGUUCUUCCCAGUCGUUGAAAUAGACUUAUUAAGUUUAGCAAGAUUUAUACGUGUGUGGUAUCGUAGUUUUUUAAUUUGCAAGGUGGGCGUAAAUACAAAGUCAUAUCGUAAUUUUUGCAUUUGCACCCACCCAGUAUAUUAGAAUAUCAUAAUAUGUCACAUUCAUUAUUCAAAACAGCAAUGCAAUACAGUGUUAUGCACCAACAAAUAAUGACAAUGAGGAAAAAGUCUGCAGUAAUAACACCACCUUUGAGAAAGUCCUAGGAAGACACUGGUUUGGCGUCAUCAAUUAAAAUGUGUGACAGGGAUAUAUCAUCGCUCCAUGCAUAUCUUUCUCCUGAUUGUAUAAUGAGGAAAUUAACACCAGACAGACCCAGAGGGAUAGCAUGGGACUAAAUACAAAUCCAAAUUGCGGGAGAAUAUAGCAACUUUACAUUUCACCGGAGACGAAGAAGAUUAAGUAUAAUAUAGUCCUCAAC